rnacentral:snRNA from 1 species
GUGCUUGCUUUAGCAGAAUAUACACUAAAAUUGGAAGGUACACAGAAAGGUAGCACGGCCCUGCAUAACGGUAUCAAGCAAAUUUGGGAAGCAUUCCAUAUUUUU